AUUGAACGCUGGCGGCAGGCCUAACACAUGCAAGUCGAGCGGUAGAAGCACGCUGGCGGCUGGAUUCAGCGGCAGGCGGGUGUGUAAUGUCGAGGAAUCUCCCGGGUAGGGGGGGAUAUCGUCGGAAAACGGGCGCUAAUACCGUAUACGCCCAGAGUGAGAGCGGGGGAGAUCCUCGGACCUCACGCCAUCAGAUGAUCAUAGGUCGGAUUAGCUAGUUGGUGGGGUAAAGGCCUACCAAGGCGACGAUCCGUAGCUGGUCUGAGAGGAUGAUCAGUCACACUGGAACUGAGACACGGUCCAGACUCCUACGGGAGGCAGCAGUGGGGAAUAUUGGACAAUGGGCGAAAGCCUGAUCCAGCAAUGCCGCGUGUAGGAAGAAGGUCUUCGGGUUGUAAAGUACUUUUGUUCGGGAGGAAAAGCAGUCAGCUAAUACAGUGCUGUUUUGACGGUACCGACAGAAUAAGCACCGGCUAACUUCGUG
rnacentral:rRNA from 1 species